rnacentral:lncRNA from 1 species
GAAAUUUGCACUUGUAGUUGCUGCUAUUUUUGGAACCAAUGAAAAAGUUUCACAGAUUAUUAACUUUUAGUAGUUGAAGAUUUUUAGAUUGAAAGAUUGCUGGGAGAGACAACCUCGCCAUCUGAUUAACGGCAUGAAUUUCUUCUUUAUAAUGUUCAACUACAGUAUGAAUUGGCAAACAUUUUCUCUAAAGCUCAACACAGUAAAUAUUUUAAGCUUUACAGGGUAGGUAUUCUCUGUUGCAGCCACUCAACUCUAGUGUUUAGUGCAAAACUGACCACUGAAAAUAUGCCAUACCAAACAGGUGCUGGACCAGACCUGGACUCCCUGGGGCCACAGAGCUUCAUUUGAACUAAGUAGAAGACUGCUCUGGUUAGGGAGGCAAUCGGUAAAGAAAAUGAAGCAUCCAUCUAGCAUCAUCCCACUGGGAGGAAAGAAGGAGACCAAAAGAAGGUAAACAAUAGCAAAAAAAUCUCUGAAGGAGUAAAUCAAGAUGGAGUUGAUGGAUAAGGAGGAAUAAAACUACUCCAAUUAUCUGGAACUUACACUAAAUGAAAAGCAAGUCUCCAAGAUAGAAGCUGAGCAUGACAAACAAAUGCUGACAAUAUCAGGUAGUGCUUCAGUUCAACUAUGAGGGAUUCUUUCUCCCACAACUUCCCUACUCCAGGAACUUGGAAAGUGGAUCAUCUCUGACAGCUAAAUUCCAAAACAAACACUUAGCAGAUUGGAACAUAAUUAUGCCAAUUUAUUAUCAAAAGCCAGAAUAGCUCUCAGGACAGCAAUACCUGAUUAAAAUUAGAAAGAUGCUGGACUACCUUAGAAACAGUGUGUCAAGAAGAAGGAGAAUGAUCAGUAAUGCAAACAGAGAAAAGAGCAAGUGAGGAGCAAAUUUUGGCCAUGUCUUCUGCCCUGUGCACAGAUGUUCUAUCACCAGAGAGCAGAAACCUGGUCAUGGGGCAGGAUGUCCCAUUAAGGGAAUGAGCUCAUGGGGCGGCCACAUCAGCCUCCUCUUGCUAAGAGUGCCUGCUCCCUGAGACGCUCCUGAUGGUAAUUUGGCUUCCACGAAGACUUGUCUGCAAAUAGAGAAUAAGCUGUGCAGCGGAGCAAAUUAUCUACUCUGCUUUGAGUUCUUAUUGUAAAGUAAUAAAUUGGUAUUUUGGUUUUUAAUCAUCAGUCCCCGGUGAAUUUUGUGUGAGUCCUCUCGCUCUAAUACUUCUGAGAAGAUGAACAAUCACAUUCUGAUCCUGAAAAGCCAAGGACCACGGUAAGGCCAAUGGGCC